rnacentral:rRNA from 1 species
UGCGCAGGCGGAAGAUUAAGUCGGUGGUGAAAUUUUGCAGCUCAACUGUAAAAGUGCCAUUGAUACUGGUUUUCUUGAGUGUGGAUGAAGUAGGCGGAAUUUGUGGUGUAGCGGUGAAAUGCAUAGAUAUCACGAGGAACUCCGAUUGCGCAGGCAGCUUACUAAACCAUAACUGACGCUCAGGCACGAAGGCGUGGGGAUCAAACA